GACGAACGCUGGCGGCGUGCUUAACACAUGCAAGUCGAACGAUGAACUUGGAGCUUGCUCUGGGGGAUUAGCGGCGAACGGGUGAGUAACACGUGAGUAACCUGCCCUGGACUCUGGGAUAACUUCGAGAAAUCGGAGCUAAUACCGGAUAGGACCUUGCACCGCAGGGUGUGGGGUGGAAAGUUUUUCGGUUUGGGAUGGACUCGCGGCCUAUCAGCUUGUUGGUGAGGUAAUGGCUCACCAAGGCGUCGACGGGUAGCCGGCCUGAGAGGGUGACCGGCCACACUGGGACUGGGACACGGCCCAGACUCCUGCGGGAGGCAGCAGUGGGGAAUAUUGCACAAUGGGCGCAAGCCUGAUGCAGCAACGCCGCGUGCGGGACGACGGCCUUCGGGUUGUAAACCGCUUUUAGUAGGGAAGAAGCCUUCGGGUGACGGUACCUGCAGAAAAAGGACCGGCUAACUACGUGCCAGCCGCCGCCGUAACAC
rnacentral:rRNA from 1 species